GCCCCUGUUGUCUAAUGGUUAUGACGUCAGACUUCUACGCUUGCGUAAGCGUGAUUACGUAAUCUGGAGGCUGCGGGUUCGAAUCCCGCCAGGGGUU